GAUGAACGCUAGCUACAGGCUUAACACAUGCAAGUCGAGGGGUCUCGCGGGAGCUUGCUCCCAAGAGACGACCGGCGCACGGGUGAGUAACGCGUAUCCAACCUGCCCUUCAUAUUGGGAUAGCCUUCCGAAAGGAAGAUUAAUACCGAAUAACAUAGAGUGGUUGCCUGAUUUCUCUAUGAAAGCUCCGGCGAUGAAGGAUGGGGAUGCGUUCCAUUAGGUAGUAGGCGGGGUAACGGCCCACCUAGCCAACGAUGGAUAGGGGUUCUGAGAGGAAGGUCCCCCACACUGGAACUGAGACACGGUCCAGACUCCUACGGGAGGCAGCAGUGAGGAAUAUUGGUCAAUGGGCGCAAGCCUGAACCAGCCAAGUAGCGUGAAGGAUGACUGCCCUAUGGGUUGUAAACUGCUUUUGCGGGAGAAUAACCGGCGCCACGCGUGGCGCCCUGCAUGUAUCCCGCGAAUAAGGACCGGCUAAUUCCGUGCCAGCAGCCGACGG
rnacentral:rRNA from 1 species